AGCGAAACUGCGAAUGGCUCAUUAUAUAAGUUAUCGUUUAUUUGAUAGUACAUUACUACUUGGAUAACCGUGGUAAUUCUAGAGCUAAUACAUGCUAAAAAUCCCGACUUCGGAAGGGAUGUAUUUAUUAGAUUAAAAACCAAUGCCCUCUGGGCUCCUUGGUGAUUCAUGAUAACUUCUCGAAUCGCAUGGCCUUGCGCCGGCGAUGGUUCAUUCAAAUUUCUUCCCUAUCAACUUUCGAUGUUUGGGUAUUGGCCAAACAUGGUCGCAACGGGUAACGGAGGGUUAGGGCUCGACCCCGGAGAAGGAGCCUGAGAAACGGCUACUACUUCCAAGGAAGGCAGCAGGCGCGCAAAUUACCCAAUCCCGACACGGGGAGGUAGUGACAAUAAAUACUGAUACGAGGCUCUUUUGGGCCUUGUAAUUGGAAUGAGUACAAUUUAAAUCUCUUAACGAGGAACAAUUGGAGGGCAAGUCUGGUGCCAGCAGCCGCGGUAAUUCCAGCUCCAAUAGCGUAUAUUAAAGUUGUUGUGGUUAAAAAGCUCGUAGUUGAACCUUGGGCCUGGCUGGCCGGUCCGCCUCACCGCGUGUACUGGUCCGGCCGGGCCUUUCCCUCUGUGGAACCUCAUGCCCUUCACUGGGUGUGACGGGGAAGCAGGACUUUUACUGUGAAAAAAUUAGAGUGCUCCAAGCAGGCCUAUGCUCGAAUACAUUAGCAUGGAAUAAUAAAAUAGGACGUGCGGUUCUAUUUUGUUGGUUUCUAGGACCGCCGUAAUGAUUAAUAGGGACAGUCGGGGGCAUCAGUAUUCAAUUGUCAGAGGUGAAAUUCUUGGAUUUAUUGAAGACUAACUACUGCGAAAGCAUUUGCCAAGGAUGUUUUCAUUAAUCAGGAACGAAAGUUAGGGGAUCGAAGACGAUCAGAUACCGUCGUAGUCUUAACCAUAAACUAUGCCGACUAGGGAUCGGACGAUGUUAUUUUUUGACUCGUUCGGCACCUUACGAGAAAUCA
rnacentral:rRNA from 1 species